AUGCAUUUAGGGCAUGAGAACAAAAAGCAUGGGAGAAACUCAAACCUAAAAGAUAUGUUCUUUUCACUUUGCAUUAUGGGAGGAGCUCUUUGUGGGCUGCCAUUCAUGCACAUCUUUGUGUUUGAGCUUGAAGCGGGUGUUUGCAGGCUUUGGACUUGGACUUGGAGGCUUCUUUUGCCUGCACUUGGAGAUUCUUGUUAUGUUCAUCGACAAGUCAGAGACUUAUGCACAGUCAUCGGUAUUUGGUUCACCGACAGGUUAUAUUGUUCACCGACACUUGGAAUGACUUGGAGACUACUUGGUUAUGUCGAAGACAUUAUUUGAUCACUUGGUUUUGGUGAUUUGGUUAUUGGUUUAUUCGGGUUCGCAUAUUUUUUGUUACCGACAAAUAGGUCCAGGUUAUGCACUGGCAAGCAUAUCUAUUCCAGAUCAGCAUGACACAUUAUGGAGAUGAUUUAUUAUUAUUAUAAAUGCAUUGAGCCGACAUGAUGCAUCAGAUAUUGAUUUAUUUGUAAUUGAUUUUAUUGUAAUUAUCUUUGUAAGUCGACCUACACAUUUUGGUCUUAGGUUAUGGUAUAAAUGCAAGAUCUCAUUUGUGAGAUUGAUAUGUGAUUGGAAAAGGAAUUGUAAUAGGGUAUAUGCGAGGAUAAGCACAGCUAUACACACAGACAUCAUUUAAAGGUUGAAGGAAGGUUUUUGAGAAGAUAAUCCGAGCUAAACCGGUACUGAAUCCAGCAUAUGAGGAUGCUAUUUUAAGUAGUACAUUAUCAUUGGAUUUAACCAUCCAAUUGUAGUCAGUGUGACUCCCAUUUUGUGUUUGAGCAGUGAGCUCUAGGGAGCUGGCCUUUUUGCAUGUGCAGACUCCAUAUUGUACACACAUACUAUCUGCAGUAGUAUCAUUUGAUUGUGUGUAAGGCUUCCCACCGUGGUUUUUCUCCUUACAGGGUUUCCACGUACAAAUAUUUGUGUUAUGUGUUGUGGAUGUUAUUGUCAUUCUGUCUCAUGCAUUAAUCUUUACCGGUAUUGCAAUUAACUGUUAAAACUGUCUACCGACAUAAAGUUUGGUUUA